rnacentral:lncRNA from 1 species
ACGGUAUUAUGCUUAUUGCUUGCCGUUCUAGUUAUUGCAGCUAUUUACAGGUCUAAGCGUCUAAGAGCAUUAGCCUCGGAAGAAGACCCAACAAUACUAUUCCUUCACCGCCACCGCUCCGCGAGUCUACUUCCACCUGUAUUCACCUACGAGGAACUUGAAUCUUCAACAAAUCGGUUCGACCCAAAGCGAAAGAUUGGCGACGGCGGUUUCGGGUCUGUGUACUUAGGCCACCUCUACGAUGGCAGAGUUGUGGCUGUUAAAUACCUCCAUAAACAGCAACACCACCACGCGGCAGCUGCAGGCAAAGCAUUCUCUACCAAGUCAUUCUGCAAUGAAAUCCUGAUAUUAUCUUCAAUAGAUCAUCCAAAUCUGGUCAAGCUCUACGGGUACUGCAGCGACCCGAGAGGUCUACUUCUAGUAUAUGACUAUGUCCCGAAUGGCACUCUCGCUGACCAUCUGCACGGGCCAAAGGGCUUGCAUCGCAAAGGGCGUUUAACAUGGCAAGUAAGGCUCGACAUUGCAUUGCAAACGGCUCUAGCUUUAGAGUACUUGCAUUUCGCCGUCCAUCCGGCGAUCGUUCAUAGAGAUAUAACUUCUUCAAAUAUUUUUAUAGAGAAAGAUAUGAGAAUUAAAGUUGGAGACUUCGGACUUUCCAGGCUUCUGGUUUUUCCCGAAACGUCGUCAUCUUCGUCUGGUUACGUUUGGACCGGACCUCAAGGUACCCCUGGAUACUUGGAUCCGGAUUACCACCGGUCUUUCCGGUUAACCGAGAAAAGCGACGUGUAUAGUUUUGGGGUGGUUUUGUUAGAGUUGAUUUCUGGGUUGAAAGCGGUGGAUCAGAGUAGGGACAAAAGAGAGAUGGCGUUAGCGGAUUUAGUAGUAUCCAAGAUCCAAAUGGGUCAGCUCCAUCAAGUAGUGGACCCAGUAUUGAUUGUUGAAGGGGAGGCGAAGGAGAGUAUUUAUGCGGCGGCGGAGCUAGCGUUCCGCUGUGUGGCGGCGGAUAAGGAUGAUAGGCCAGAUUCGAAGGAGGUAGUGGAGGAGCUAGAGCGGAUCCGGAGUUGCACGCGUGGGUUUGGCGGGGCGAAUAAUUCGAAUGGAGGGGAAGGUGACGUGGCAAAAGGAUGAUUAAUUGAUUGAUUGAAGGAAGGGUUACGUGUAGUGUGAUGCUGUUUUUUUAAUAUCGUUUUUGCAGGUGGUGAUGCAUGUACUUUGAGUUCGAAUGAAAUUCCCAGAUCCUCAUGUCCUCCAUUUUCAUCCACUCCUCCUUUUCCUUUCUCUAUAUCGCCUGGCUGUGGUCAUCCUUCUUUUCAACUAAAAUGCUCUUUACCUUACUCUACUAUCUCCAUUAACGACUUUUCUUUCUCUGUUAUUGAAUUUGAACCCAACUCUUCCUCUCUCACUCUCUCUCCUCAAACCCAUCAUUCUUUUACAUCUACAGAAACUACAACUAACAGUAAUUGCUCUUCUCUUUCAAUUCCUACCCGUUCGAUCAAUCUCUCUGGUUCUCCAUUUCGAUUCUCCGAUUCUGAUUGUUCCCGUCUCUCUGUUGUUCGCUCUUGUUCCCCCCUGAAUCUUCCCAAUUGCAGCCAUUGUUCAUGGGAAUGCAAACUUAUUAAGAACCCAGUUCAGCUUCUCCAUGGUUGCGGAUCUAGUCAUCUACCUAUUUCUGAGCAAGGUUGCCAGCCGAACAUUUUAGAGUAUCUUGACCAGUUUCUAACAGUUGGGCUUCAUGUUGAAUACGAUGAAUCUCAAGAUUCUUACUUUUCUAGUUGCAGAGUGUGUAAAUCCAAGAAUGGUAUCUGUGGGUUCAAUUCUUCAGACCCGGAUAAGCGAUUCCUCUGUUUUCUGCCUAAAUCGCGAUUCUCGCCUCCAUGGAUUCACGAAGAUGAUGCAAAUCGAAUCGCGAUAUUAUGUUCAAUCUUCACGGUAUUAUGCUUAUUGCUUGCCGUUCUAGUUAUUGCAGCUAUUUACAGGUCUAAGCGUCUAAGAGCAUUAGCCUCGGAAGAAGACCCAACAAUACUAUUCCUUCACCGCCACCGCUCCGCGAGUCUACUUCCACCUGUAUUCACCUACGAGGAACUUGAAUCUUCAACAAAUCGGUUCGACCCAAAGCGAAAGAUUGGCGACGGCGGUUUCGGGUCUGUGUACUUAGGCCACCUCUACGAUGGCAGAGUUGUGGCUGUUAAAUACCUCCAUAAACAGCAACACCACCACGCGGCAGCUGCAGGCAAAGCAUUCUCUACCAAGUCAUUCUGCAAUGAAAUCCUGAUAUUAUCUUCAAUAGAUCAUCCAAAUCUGGUCAAGCUCUACGGGUACUGCAGCGACCCGAGAGGUCUACU